rnacentral:rRNA from 1 species
UACGUAGGGGGCUAGCGUUGUCCGGAAUCAUUGGGCGUAAAGCGCGUGUAGGCGGCCCGGUAAGUCCGCUGUGAAAGUCGGGGGCUCAACCCUCGGAUGCCGGUGGAUACUGUCGGGCUCGAGUACGGAAGAGGCGAGUGGAAUUCCUGGUGUAGCGGUGAAAUGCGCAGAUAUCAGGAGGAACACCAAUUGCGAAGGGCAGCUCGCUGGGACGUUACUGACGCUGAGACGCGAAAGCGUGGGGAGCAAACAGG